rnacentral:rRNA from 1 species
GCGGCCGUAACUAUAACGGUCCUAAGGUAGCGAAAUUCCUUGUCGGGUAAGUUCCGACCUGCACGAAUGGCGUAAUGAUGGCCAGGCUGUCUCCACCCGAGACUCAGUGAAAUUGAACUCGCUGUGAAGAUGCAGUGUACCCGCGGCAAGACGGAAAGACCCCGUGAACCUUUACUAUAGCUUGACACUGAACAUUGAGCCUUGAUGUGUAGGAUAGGUGGGAGGCUUUGAAGCGUGGACGCCAGUCUGCGUGGAGCCGACCUUGAAAUACCACCCUUUAAUGUUUGAUGUUCUAACGUGGACCCGUAAUCCGGGUUGCGGACAGUGUCUGGUGGGUAGUUUGACUGGGGCGGUCUCCUCCUAAAGAGUAACGGAGGAGCACGAAGGUUGGCUAAUCCUGGUCGGACAUCAGGAGGUUAGUGCAAUGGCAUAAGCCAGCUUGACUGCGAGCGUGACGGCGCGAGCAGGUGCGAAAGCAGGUCAUAGUGAUCCGGUGGUUCUGAAUGGAAGGGCCAUCGCUCAACGGAUAAAAGGUACUCCGGGGAUAACAGGCUGAUACCGCCCAAGAGUUCAUAUCGACG